AGCCAGUGUGGUAUAGUGGUUUGAGUGUUGGACUACAACUUUGGAGGGGAUGGUUCAAAUCCCUUCUUGGCUA